GGCUUUGGAUUCUUUGUGAACAAAUGAGACAAGGCUGCAAAUUCAGAGGAUCCUCCCAGAAGAUAAGAUGGAGCAGGUCACCACCUUCUUCCCUGCUUCACACCCUCAGGCCCCGACUCUUGUCUGCUGAGAUCACUCUCCAAACCAAUCUUCCCUUACAAAGCCCUUGUUGCAGGCUAUGCUUUCUGAGGGGAACCCAGGCCAAGACACUAAAAUGACACACCAACAUGAAGACAUGAACACAAUUGCAAAGGGAUUGGUUGGAUUGCAUAUCUCUGUGAAUGGGACUCAAGAGAAGUUUGGGAAAUGCUGGACCAGAUGACCCUUGCAAUCAUGGUGCACAGAAUUAAAACCGUCAAGUUCCCCAUCCAUCUCUGAGAUGGAUGAGAAUCUGAGUCUUCCACAAGAUGCCCAAGACUUGUUAAACCCGUGGAAUGUCUUUGGCUGCCAGAGGGAUGCUAACACCGCCCACGUGCUGCAGCAGGACUUUGGAAGGGGAACCAGCACUGUAAUGAAGUGUUGGGUUGGCUCAAGUCUUGUCUGGACCACAAACCAUUUUUCAACCACUAGUGUGCCUUUAAAACCCAAACCAACUGUGAGAGUGGUUUUCUACUUUGAUUCUAGAUGGGAAAAUAUUUUGCUUUUUUGGUGGAUGACAGUGUCAGGUCCCAAAUGGAUUUGGUUUCAUCCUCCAGCACGCAUGCAUAUAACGUGAAACAUGCCCACACUCUGCAAGGGCCACAGCCACCCCACCAUUAUGUUCCAAGGCAAAUAUGCGUCCGCGGGUCCCCGGGAAAGUAAAGGAGUUUCACAUUGAGGAGCCGAGCCACACAGUCUAGCAGUUCUGAUGUCUCUCCAAGGCCCACAGAUCCUGGUCUACUAACUUAAGGCCCCUUUUGUCUAAAAUAGUGAUGUACAUUAAAUGCAAAGGGCAAAUGGAACCAUUGAAAAGUACUUUUUGCAUCCAAAACAGCCAACGCUUUGGUGCCUGCUAUGUGUCAGACACUGAUUCUUCUGUCAUCCUUAUUCUACUGAUGAGGCAACUGAGGCAGCUUCAGAGAGUUCGAGUAACCUGCGGAUCACACAACUAGGAAGUAAGAGAGCUGGAACUUGACGUUGGGCUGUUGACCUCCAGAAAUGGUGUUUUUUCCAGUACUCAGUGCUGCCUCUGACUCCAUUGUGAUGGUUGAUUUUAUGUGUCAACUUGACUGGGCCCAGGGGUACCCAGAUAUUUGGUCAAACAUUAUUCUGGGUGUUUCUGUGAGGGCGUUUUGGGUGAGAUUAACAUUUAAAUUGGUAGACUGAGUAAAGCAGAUGGCCCUCUAUGAUAUGGCCAGGCCUCAUCCAAUCCAUUGAAAGCCUGAAUGGAACAAAAAGGCCAACCCUCCCUCAGUAGGAGGAAAUUUCGUCUGCUUGACUGCAUUCAAACUAGGACGUCAACUUUUUCCUGCCUUUGGACUUGAAUAGAAACAUCAGCUCUUCCUAGAUCUUCAACCUGCCAGGCUUCAGAUUGAAGUUUAUACCAUCAGCUCUCUUGGUUCUUGGGCCUUUGGACCCAGACUGUAAGUGCACCAUCCGUUCUCUUGGGUCUUGCUUGCUGACUCACCCUGCAGAUUUGGGGACUUAUCAGCCUCUAAUUCUGUGAGCCAAUUCCUUCUAAUAUAUCUCUCUAUACGCAUCCUGUCUCACUGGAAGAACCCUGAUACGGUUAGGCUUUGUGUCCUCAUUCAAAUCUCAUCUUGAAUUGUAAAUCCCAUAAUCCCCAUAAUCCCCAUGUGUCAGGGGAGGGAUCAGGUGGAGGUAAUUGCAUCAUGGGAGCAGUUUCCCCUGUGCUCUUCUCACGAUAGUGAAAGAGUUCUCACAAGAUCUGAUGGUUUUAUAAGGGGCUCUUCCCCCUUUGCUCUGCACUUCCCCUUCCUGCUGCCUUGUGGCCUUGUGAAGAAGGUGUCUUGCUUCCCCUUUGCCCUCCUCCAUGAUUGUAAGUUUCCUGAGGCCUCCCCAGUCAUGCAGAACUGUGAGUCAAUUAAACCUCUGUCC
rnacentral:lncRNA from 1 species